rnacentral:snRNA from 1 species
GUACUUGCUUUGGAAUACAGUAAAAUCGGAAUGAUGCAGAGAUUAGCAUGGUCGUGUACAAAGGUUACAUGCAAGUUUGGGAAGCAUUCCAUUUUUUU